GACGUAGGGCGCGAGCGUUGUCCGGAUUUAUUGGGCGUAAAGAGCUCGUAGGCGGCUUGUCGCGUCGACUGUGAAAUCCCGCGGCUCAACCGCGGGUCUGCAGUCGAUACGGGCAGGCUAGAGUUCGGUAGGGGAGACUGGAAUUCCUGGUGUAGCGGUGAAAUGCGCAGAUAUCAGGAGGAACACCGGUGGCGAAGGCGGGUCUCUGGGCAGUAACUGACGCUGAGGAGCGAAAGCGUGGGGAGCGAACAGG
rnacentral:rRNA from 1 species